GAGUUUGAUCGUGGCUCAGAUUGAACGCUGGCGGCAUGCCUUACACAUGCAAGUCGAACGGCAGCACGGGGGCUUGCUCCUGGUGGCGAGUGGCGAACGGGUGAGUAAUGCAUCGGAACGUAUCCUGGAGUGGGGGAUAACGUAGCGAAAGUUACGCUAAUACCGCAUAUUCUGUGAGCAGGAAAGCGGGGGACCUUCGGGCCUCGCGCUCUUGGAGCGGCCGAUGUCGGAUUAGCUAGUUGGUGAGGUAAAGGCUCACCAAGGCGACGAUCCGUAGCAGGUCUGAGAGGAUGAUCUGCCACACUGGAACUGAGACACGGUCCAGACUCCUACGGGAGGCAGCAGUGGGGAAUUUUGGACAAUGGGGGCAACCCUGAUCCAGCCAUGCCGCGUGAGUGAAGAA
rnacentral:rRNA from 1 species